rnacentral:rRNA from 1 species
CCUACGGGUGGCAGCAGUGAGGAAUAUUGGUCAAUGGACGAGAGUCUGAACCAGCCAAGUAGCGUGAAGGAUGACUGCCCUAUGGGUUGUAACCUUCUUUUAUAUGGGAAUAAAAUGUUCCACGUGUGGGAUUUUGUAUGUACCAUAUGAAUAAGGAUCGGCUAACUCCGUGCCAGCAGCAGCGGUAAUACGGAGGAUCCGAGCGUUAUCCGGAUUUAUUGGGUUUAAAGGGAGCACAGGUGGAUUGUUAAGUCAGUUGUGAAAGUUUGCGGCUCAACCGUAAAAUUGCAGUUGAAACUGGAAGUCUUGAGUACAGUAGAGGUGGGCGGAAUGCGUGGUGUAGCGGUGAAAUGCUUAGAUAUCACGCAGAACUCCGAUUGCGAAGGCAGCUCACUGGACUGCAACUGACACUGAGGCUCGAAAGUGUGGGUAUCAAACAGGAUUAGAUACCCUUGUAGUC